UCUGCAGAGUUCGAUUUAACAAGUUAAUAUUAUUUAUUAAAUUUUAUUUUAUUAUUAAGUGUGUUCACGUGUUUAUUAAUCAUUAAAGACGAAGAAAUUUGCUUAUAUUAUCAAAUACAAUUGAUAAUAUAAUCAAAGAAAAAUGAUUCCACAUAUUAAACUUCUUAACAAUUUGCAAGGAGGUUCAGCGCAAAACGACUCUCUCAAGACGCAGUGGGUUCCUUGAGGACACUUGAAUCCGGCACAAGAAGAAACUUGACUGAUCAGUUUGAUUUCUCGUCUUGGUUUAUUUUUUACCAACUUAUGAAAUAUGAAAAUGUACACGAACUCACUUUCAUCCCAACGACAACGGCGGACUUUCAUCAUGCAUGUGUAUCCAUUGGUGCAGUAUACGGCAUCACAGCUAGAAGGACCCUUCAAAGAUUCUCAAAAGACACGAAUGCGCAUAAAAAUAAAGAAUAGAAACUUGCAUAUGAGAAAUCUUUUACAAUAAUUUAAUAAUUUAUCUACAAUAUGCAAGGAAUAAAAUUUCCAUUAACUCAACUCAUUUAUGCGGUACUUUCUCACUUAGAUUAAAAAUAAUAAUAAUAACUUUUCAAUAAUUGCGAACCUUAAAGAGACAAAAUUUUUAUUUCUAAAUAUUAAAUAUUUCUAUUUAAAAGAGAGAAAUAAUUCUUGUUCAAAGGCGAAAACAAAAUUUCCAUUGCUUGUAAAAAAAAAAGAAACUUGAAGUAAGAAAUCAAAAAUUAUAAAAUUUCUCAAAUUUACUUUCGUAACAUGACUAUUUCUCCAAACAUUAAAUCUAUAUUUCUUUUAUAUUUCAGAUUCCCUUGAAAGGAUAUCUCUUAGAGCACCUCGUAAUACAGGUUCCAGAGGGAUGCAUAUCAUCCAGAAAUUUCAUUUCUCCUUUACAUCGAAUAAUCCAAAGUCUACCGCAUCCCUGUGCAAAGGGAUCAAACAUCUCAACGCGAGACAAUGAAUUUACAACUUAAACAACUGUUUCAGAUCCAUUUACAAAACUGCAUUCGCCGUUAAUUGUUCUUUGUGCGCCUCGUUCAGGGCCCUUAAUUAAAUUUCAUCGAGUAAGAUAUCGUUGUCGAGACGCUUACCUGUACGAGAUUUCGAGCAGUAGAGCAUAGUGGGACAAGGUGGAUUUUUGCAUCGAAAUUUUCUGUGCACGCAGUGCUCGUCUUCUUCGCAGUAUACCUGGUAUAAUGUUUUAUGAAAGUAGAAUAUUUAGCAAAACAAUAAGAGGAUAUAAAAGAAUGGAUAAGAAGAUAUUUCAAUAGUUAUUUUUCAAUUACUUUUAACAACGAAGAAUAUCAUUAUGUAUGGAAAGUUUUGUUUAUUUCUAAUUUUUUUAUGUAAAGUGGAAAUUUAAAAAAUUAAAAAAAAAAAUUCAAGGAACCGAAUGAACUCACCUUUUCCGAAAAAAGCCUGAAGAUGAACAGCCAUGAUCAAUAGCAAGAGAGAAAAUAGUGUGAAGUAUGUGAAUUCGAUAUACUUUGGUUCCAUAAUGAUUGGAACAUGAUACCGUACGUCGUUCGAUGGCGACUGCACCUGAAUCAAAGCAACCGAAGCAAUUGAUAUGGAUAAAUUGUGUUUCGAUUUAACCUGAGUAACUGGAAACUGAAGAGAACAAUCGGUUAGAAGCUUACUCACUCGAUGCAUUAUAAUAGCUAUUCAUCAUCUAUUUACGAAGAUUAUAUAACGAGUAAAAAAUUGGAGACAAAUUAUAAAUUAAAAUAAUUUGAUAUAAAUUAAUUUUCAAGUUUAAAAAAAACUAAUAUAUUAAUCCAAACUUGAUUAUAUUACUGGAAAAUAAAUAAAAUUACAAAAUGAGUAAUGUUGAAAAUUGAUAUAUAUAUAUGUAUAAAUUAAAAUGAAGAAAAGUAAAAAUUUGAUAUAAUGAAUUAUUUUUCGUCUUAGGAUUAAAAGGUAGAAUUAGUUCUUGAAAAAGUUUUCUUGAUGAAUAAAUUUUACGAUCACCAUAAAAUUAUAGAAAAUAUUCGACUAUUUAUUUGUAACAUAUUUAAGUAUUUAAUACAUUAAAAAUUAACAUAUUUGAAAGCACAUAAAUUAUGCAACAUUGUAAUAGUUUAAGAUAAUACAUGUUUAACAUUAUCUUGUUCAUUACAGGAACAAUUAUUUUCUUCUUUUUUUAUACAAUUAUUUUCUUCUUUUUUAUACUAUUUUCUAAUUGCAUGAAUAUUCGUAGCUAUGAUAGUAAGCUCAUGUUAUAUUAAUAAUAUAAAUUUUUUUGUAUGCUAUUUCAAUAUAACAUUUAUCUAUAAAAUUAUUAAAUAAAACGAAGAAACUAAGUUUCAAUAUCUAUUUGAAGAUAUGUACAUUAUGAUAAUAUAGUAAUUUAUUUAAAUUAAUCAAAAUACAUUAAAUAAAAAUUUUUUAUCUAAUUUUUAAAAAAAAUAUACAUAUAAUAUUUUUAAUAUCUUUUUAAACAAAUUUUUUUAAUUUUAAUUAAAGCCACAAUCAAGAACGUUUAAUUAUACCGACUAGAUAUUUUAUAAAAAAUUAUAAAUUUAUAAGGAAUAUAAUUUUACGUCAUUUUUAAAUAAAUUACAAUCAGUUAAUACAUUUCAAAUUUCCAUAUUCAUCAUAAAAUAUUUAUCUAGUCAAUUUAAAAAAAAAAACAUACUUUGAUCAUGGCCGCUAUUUUUAUAACUAUAAUCAAUUCACAGUCGUUGAAAUACAUAUUUUAUAAUAAUAUAAAA